AGUAGUCAUAUGCUUAUCUCAAAGAUUAAGCCAUGCAUGUAUAAGUUCACACCUUCAAAUGGUGAAACCGCGAAUGGCUCAUUAAAUCAGCUAUAGUUCCUUAGAUCUUACUUUACUACUUGGAUAACUGUGGAAAUUCUAGAGCUAAUACAUGCCACGGAACCCAGACCUUACGGAAUGGGUGGAUUUAUUAGAUCAAAACCAACCGCUUCGGCGAAACAAUUGGUGACUCUGGAUAAUUUUUCUGAUCGUACGGCCUUGUGCUGACGACGUAUCUUUCAAGUGUCUGACUUAUCAACUGUUGAUGGUAGUUUAUAUGACUACCAUGGUAGUAACGAGUGACGGGGAAUUUGGGUUCGAUUCCGGAGAGGGAGCCUUAGAAACGGCUACCACAUCUAAGGAAGGCAGCAGGCACGCAAAUUACCCACUCUCAGUACGAGGAGGUAGUGACGAAAAAUAACGAUGCGGGACUCAUACGAGGCCCCGCAAUUGGAAUGAGUACAAUCUAAAUCCUUUAACGAGUAUCAAUUAGAGGGCAAGUCUGGUGCCAGCAGCCGCGGUAACUCCAGCUCUAAUAGCGUAUAUUAAAGUUGUUGCAGUUAAAAAGCUCGUAGUUUGACUUGAGGUAGGUCCCACUUGUUCCUCUAUGAGGACACUUGUGGAGAUCACCUAAACAGCCGGUGAUAUUUUUCGUGCUCUUCAUUGAGUGCGAUAGAUACUCAGCACGUUUACUUUGAAGAAAUUAGAGUGCUCAAAGCAGGCUUACGCCCUGAAUAUUUAUGCAUUGAAUAAUAGAAUAGGAUCUCGGUUCUAUUUUGUUGGUUUUCGGAGUCGAGGUAAUGAUUAACAGAGACAGACGGGGGCAUUUGUAUGGCUGUGUAAGAGGUGAAAUUCGUGGAUCGCAGUCAGACAAACAACUGCGAAAGCAUUUGCCAAGGAUGUUUUCAUUAAUCAAGAACGAAAGUCAGAGGUUCGAAGACGAUCAGAUACCGUCCUAGUUUUGACCAUAAACGAUGCCGACUGAUCAUUAGUAUGCAUAUAACAAUAAUGCUUCUAGUGGUCCCUGGAAAACCUUUAAGUUUAUUGGUUCUGGGGGAAGUAUGGUUGCAAAGCUGAAACUUAAAGGAAUUGACGGAAGGGCACCACCAGGAGUGGAGCCUGCGGCUUAAUUUGACUCAACACGGGAAAACUCACCCGGCCAGGACACGAGAACGAUUGACAGGCUGAUAGCUCUUUCAUGAUUUUGUGGGUGGUGGUGCAUGGCCGUUCUUAGUUGGUGGAGUGAUUUGUCUGGUUAAUUCCGAUAACGAACGAGACUCAAGCCUGCUAAAUAGCUUACUCCUAUCAACGGGAGCAGGGCUUCUUAGAGGGAUUCGCUGCAAAUCAAAGUGGCUUGAAAUUGAGCAAUAACAGGUCUGUGAUGCCCUUAGAUGUUCGGGGCCGCACGCGCGCUACAAUGACGAUAUCAGUGAGUAUUAUGCCUGCUGUGAAAACAGUGGGAAAUCUUAUUAAUUAUCGUCAUGACAGGGAUUGGGGCUUGCAAUUAUUCCCCAUGAACGAGGAAUUCCUAGUAAGCGUAAAUCAUCAGUUUGCGCUGAUUACGUCCCUGCCCUUUGUACACACCGCCCGUCGCUACUACCGAUUGAGUGGUUUAGUGAGGACUUUGGAUCGAAUCUGAAGAUACAAUUGUAUCGACAGAAUUGAAAAGAUGCCCAAACUUGAUCACUUAGAGGAAGUAAAAGUCGUAACAAGGUUUUC
rnacentral:rRNA from 1 species